AGAGCUUCUCUAAAUAGUUGGCUACAGAAAAAAAGGGGGACAACUAAUGAAAACAAUCUGGACCAGAGCAAAGAUGCUUAAUAACUGAUUUAGGCAACAGUCAUUGAUAGAUGCUAAAAUCAUUAGAGGAUUGAUGAAUUUUACACAGAAAGGAUAUUUGCCAUCACUUGUAUAUUUUAAUCAGUCUUAGAUCAUGAAACGUGGGACAGCUAUAAAUUAUGUCUCCUGACAGUAAUGCAAUUUGAACUACACAGUAAUAUUUAGGAAGCAGUGUAUUUUUGUCUAAAAAUUAGUUGAAUCUGAAUCUAAUCAAGCUUUUUGCUCCAACUUCCAGUUUAUCAGAAAUAAAGGAAAACAUCACAUCAGAAGAAAAUAACCUGACAAAUCCAGAAUGUGGGCCAAUGUAUAGAGGAAUGGCCUUGUUCUUCAACAAAUUUCAGCUCCACCGGCCUUGGCUUGGAAGUACCACAUGUAGCUCAUCUGGGAUGGAGGAAGCUGGAAGGCAGGAAAAGAUAUAAAUAAGCUCCCAAACCAGGACCUUCUGUGAAUAGGAUCCCAGUGCUUCUGGCACCACCCAGCCACUCAGAGGAGCUGAACCUCCUGACCCUUUACCCUGAGAGCUCCACAUGGGAUCAUGAUACCAAGGCACCAAAGGACCCAAGCACUUGUCCUCAGGAGGAGGUAAUGGAUGCAGCAGUGAGAGCAAGCCAAAAGGUGUGAUUCCCAGCCAUGCAUCCAGACCAGUGGGUCUGAACCUCAUUACCACAAAGAGUCCUUUUUAUUAUUUCCCCACAGAGCUUGCUAGAAGAUACUAUAAUACACAUCAUCACCAUCCUGUCAUAAUUCCUCUUCUACAUGAACCACCCAAUGCUACCACAUCUGAACUAUUAUAAUUUGGAAGUUUAGCUUAAUCAUAGGUGGACUUAUGGUUUUUCACUGGGCCGUUUAUAUACUGAAUACUAAGCAGAAAAAAAAAACCCAGCAAAAUAAAGCAGCAACUAAGAGCACAGGCUCUAGGAGUUCUCUUGUGGUGCACCAGGUUAAGGAUCUAGCGUUGUCACACCCUACAGCUACUUGGGUUG